GUUGGUGAGGUAAAGGCUCACCAAGGCAACGAUCCGUAGCUGGUCUGAGAGGAUGAUCAGCCACAUCGGGACUGAGACACGGCCCGAACUCCUACGGGAGGCAGCAGUGGGGAAUAUUGGACAAUGGGGGCAACCCUGAUCCAGCCAUGCCGCGUGUGUGAAGAAGGCCCUCGGGUUGUAAAGCACUUUCAGCGAGGAAGAACGCCUAGCGGUUAAUACCCGCUAGGAAAGACAUCACUCGCAGAAGAAGCACCGGCUAACUCCGUGCCAGCAGCCGCGGUAAUACGGAGGGUGCAAGCGUUAAUCGGAAUUACUGGGCGUAAAGCGCGCGUAGGUGGCUUGAUAAGCCGGUUGUGAAAGCCCCGGGCUCAACCUGGGAACGGCAUCCGGAACUGUCAAGCUAGAGUGCAGGAGAGGAAGGUAGAAUUCCCGGUGUAGCGGUGAAAUGCGUAGAGAUCGGGAGGAAUACCAGUGGCGAAGGCGGCCUUCUGGACUGACACUGACACUGAGGUGCGAAAGCGUGGGUAGCAAACAGGAUUAGAUACCCUGGUAGUCCACGCCGUAAACGAUGUCGACCAGCCGUUGGGUGCCUAGCGCACUUUGUGGCGAAGUUAACGCGAUAAGUCGACCGCCUGGGGAGUACGGCCGCAAGGUUAAAACUCAAAUGAAUUGACGGGGGCCCGCACAAGCGGUGGAGCAUGUGGUUUAAUUCGAUGCAACGCGAAGAACCUUACCUACUCUUGACAUCCUCGAAUUCGGUAGAGAUACCUUAGUGCCUUCGGGAACGCAGAGACAGGU
rnacentral:rRNA from 1 species